rnacentral:rRNA from 1 species
GACGAGGGGUCCAAGCGUUGUUCGGAAUUAUUGGGCGUAAAGCGGGUGUAGGUGGCUCUAUAAGUCAGGAGUGAAAUCCCCGAGCUUAACUUGGGAAGUGCUUUUGAUACUGCAGAGCUUGAAUGUGGGAGAGGAUAAUAGAAUUCCAGGUGUAGUGGUGAAAUACGUAGAUAUCUGGAGGAACACCAAUGGCGAAGGCAGCUCGCUGGGACGUUACUGACGCUGAGACGCGAAAGCGUGGGGAGCAAACAGG